ACCCGUGAAAACCCCAUCUUUCUUUAGAACCUUCUCCUUUGUUUUCUACUCUGAUCAAACCUUUUCAUCCCUGGUGAAACUCCAUUUCUGUAGCAAAAGUGACUCAGAACAGAGCCAAAUCUUCUUGUUCAUAAUUCUGAAUUGAGAGAAAAUUACAAGGUGAAAGUCUCUUCUGGACACGCCUGUCAGCCAACUUCGACAGCUGAAAACUGCCAUUUCUGCAGUUCACAUCACCACGACUUUUUCAUGAAAGUUGUUCUAAAUUUCAUCUUCUAUACUGUGCUCGAAAAUCAUGAUAAUCCAACGGUUAAUUCGUCCUCAAUCAAGUUUCUACUCAGAUUGGGUCAUGUUUCUCCAUCGACAUUGAGUUAAUUUCAUGAAGUUUACAUCUCCAUCUUGAGUUCACACAAUUGAUUUUACAAUUGGAUGACGAAGCAUGGAAUCUGGUUGCACAAGCCAAAGGCAGAGGUAUUGCUUGACCUGGAAUAACAUUCGAAGCACUUUGAUUCGAGGUAGGGAGGCUUCACCCUAGUUAGUGCUCUUAUGUUUCCUACAUUGUUUUUAUGGUUUGAAGUUGUUUUUAAGAUUUAACACUUGAGUUCAUGAGAUGACUUGAGAGUGAGCGGGGCAUAGCGACUUCCUUGGGUUUCAAUCCCCUAAACCUCCGGAGGGGCUGUACGGACGGGAUAGUGUCUGACAUCCUUUGAGGUGUGACACUAGAUCUAGGUGGUACGGCGUAAAUGGACACUCUCGCUACUCUUCACCUGUUGUUGAAGAUUUAAAUCUUUGGUGAGGAUGUAGUUGGCUAGUAUUAGACCGGUCAUCAGGUUUGAUUUUACCCGGGUACUCAUUCGUUUUCAUAUGGUUUCACCUUGGGAGUUCUUUAUUUAAUUUUAUUAUAUUUUACUCAACUGGCGCCAAUUACUAUUUGGUUUUCAAACCUAGCUAGGGCUAAUGUUUGAGCAGCGAGGACGAAAGCUCACCCCUACUAUAGUUGGUCUUGCAGGUACUGUGCACGAGGAUUGAGGAGGAUUUCGGGACUGAGCUGGGUGCUACAUUUUUCUUUAACUAUUUGGUAUAUUUACCUACACAUUUUAUUCACCUCUACUGAAUUGUUAUUGUUUGAUAGAGGUUGAGUGUUAUCUUGUUUUUGUCAAUGUUUGCUGAGCUUCUUAACUUUGUAUUCAAAUGGUUUGAACCAAACUAGAAUUUAUUUUCAAUGUUGUAAGUUGUUGAUUCAGCUUUGUUUCACUUAAGUAGUUAUGUUUGGAAAGCAGUCAAUUGUUUAGUUAUAAUGUCAUUUUAACAAGUAAGAAUAAAGUUUUCA